GAUGCUGAGCAUCCCUCUUAGAGCAUCCCAUUACAUCAUCUUUCCUCCAUCUGAUUGGUUGAAGGUCAAGGCGCAUGCAAAGCGGAACGUCUUCGCCAAACAAUCAAGGGCUGGUGGAUAUUAAAUGCGUCCUAUACAACCCUAAUAUUUAAAAAUCAAUAGCUUGAAGCCUGUCGUUCAGCAAUCGUUUGAAAGGAUGGCGGAAAGCGAGGUGGACACACCGAGCACACCGAUAGAAUACGAGAGCAAAUACUUCGAAUAUCAUGGAGUUCGACUCCCUCCUUUCUGCAGGGGCAAGAUGGACGAGAUCGCCAACUUUUCGUUGAGAAGUAGCGAUAUAUGGAUCGUCACAUAUCCCAAGUCAGGUACGAGUUUGUUACAGGAGGUUGUGUAUCUGGUAAGCCAGGGUGUGGACCCGGAUGAGAUCGGGCUUAUGAAUAUUGAUGAGCAACUUCCUGUGUUGGAGUAUCCACAGCCGGGUUUGGAGAUUAUCCAGGAACUCACAUCUCCACGUCUGAUUAAAAGCCACCUGCCCUACCGUUUCCUACCCACAGCAAUGCACAAUGGAGAAGGCAAGGUGAUAUAUAUGGCCAGGAACCCUAAAGAUCUGGUGGUGUCCUAUUAUCAGUUUCAUCGUUCUUUGAGAACCAUGAGCUACAGGGGAACAUUCCAGGAAUUCUGCAGGAGAUUUAUGAAUGACAAGCUGGGAUAUGGCUCUUGGUUCGAACAUGUCCAGGAAUUCUGGGAACAUCGUAAAGAGUCUAACGUUCUCUUUCUGAAAUAUGAGGACAUGUAUAAGGAUCUGGGUAACCUGGUGGAGCAGCUGGCCAGGUUUCUAGGUAUCUCGUUUGAUAAAGUUCAGCUGGAAACAAUGGUGGAGAGUUGUAACCAGCUCAUUGAGCAGUGCUGUAACUCUGAGGCUCUGUCCAUCUGCAGAGUGCAUGGACUGAAAGGAUGCUGAAAGGUCUCACUGCAUACAGUAGGGUUUAUGAUAAACAGAGUGAUGUGGAAAGUGAGAAUGAAGGGCAAAGGUCGUGUUGGGCUGUGGAAGGACAUUUUCACCGUCUCCAUGAAUGAAAAGUUUGAUGCUGUGUACCGACAGAAGAUGGCAAAGUCUGACCUGACCUUUGACUUUAUUCUGUGAGGAGGCGACAGUGACUAUCAGUUACUAACCAACCAACCAAUCAGUUCGCCCGCUGAUCCGCUGUGCUUAACGCCACCUGCUGGAAAUUUCUCUCAUGGAGAUUUUAUCUUUCAUCUGUAGCAUCUCAUUACUGCUUUCUUUAGUUUCUCAGAAGUUACAUCUAAGUACUUAUGAUCAGUCCUACAAGCGUUCCCUUGUGUGUACUUGUAUAAACAGUGCAUCAGAAGUGUGAGCACAGUGCUUGUAUCGUUUGCACAUUGUACAGAGCUGUUCCAUAUAUCCCAAAUGCGCUUAUGAAAUGUGUAUUUAUGAAAAAUCUAAAUGAAACAAUAAUCUUUAUUCUACAGUAUAUUGUAAAACGCAUAUGACAAACUCAUAAGAAGUUGAUGUCUUGUUGUCUGAGCGUUUGCAUUUCUCAGGAGGAUCCUUAAGAUCAUUGGCUAACAGAUGCACCAAAUAUGCAGGCAUCCAAUCACGUUUCGUGUAUGUUAAACUUGACCAUAUUGAUGAAUGCUGAUUGGCUCCUGUCUAAAAUAUCUACAAGAAUGUUAUUUGUUUAGUUUAUUUCUUUAUUCAUGGCUUCUAGGCUUUUGUUAUAUUACAGUGCAGCUGUUUACAGAUACUGUAUGUAUUACGUUUAAAACUUCAUGUUUAUAUUAUGUUUACUUUGUGCAUGUAUAUUUUUACAUGUGAGCUGUAUCGAGGUGUAUUUGUGAGAGGAUCACAUCUACAGUAAGACAUAUCUGAUCACUCCCUGAUUUAUUCUUGUUAGUUUAAACCCUGUGUUAAAAUGUACAACAUGACGUCCUUAAAUGCUU